UUAAGCGACUAAGCGUACACGGUGGAUGCCCUGGCAGUCAGAGGCGAUGAAGGACGUGCUAAUCUGCGAUAAGCGCCGGUAAGGUGAUAUGAACCGUUAUAACCGGCGAUUUCCGAAUGGGGAAACCCAGUGUGACUCGUCACACUAUCAUUAACUGAAUCCAUAGGUUAAUGAGGCGAACCGGGGGAACUGAAACAUCUAAGUACCCCGAGGAAAAGAAAUCAACCGAGAUUCCCCCAGUAGCGGCGAGCGAACGGGGAGGAGCCCAGAGCCUGAAUCAGCAUGUGUGUUAGUGGAAGCGUCUGGAAAGGCGCGCGAUACAGGGUGACAGCCCCGUACACAAAAGCGCAUGUGCUGUGAGCUCGAUGAGUAGGGCGGGACACGUGGUAUCCUGUCUGAAUAUGGGGGGACCAUCCUCCAAGGCUAAAUACUCCUGACUGACCGAUAGUGAACCAGUACCGUGAGGGAAAGGCGAAAAGAACCCCGGCGAGGGGAGUGAAAAAGAACCUGAAACCGUGUACGUACAAGCAGUGGGAGCCCCACCACUAAGCCAGUGGUGAACUCCACAUACGCAUCCUUUGCUGAGGAUACGGUUAACGGAGCGAAAGCGACGUUCAACCGCAAAAGAAGCAGAGGGGGCUUAGUGGUGGGGUGACUGCGUACCUUUUGUAUAAUGGGUCAGCGACUUAUAUUCUGUAGCAAGGUUAACCGUAUAGGGGAGCCGCAGGGAAACCGAGUCUUAACCGGGCGUUAAGUUGCAGGGUAUAGACCCGAAACCCGGUGAUCUAGCCAUGGGCAGGUUGAAGGUUGGGUAACACUAACUGGAGGACCGAACCGACUAAUGUUGAAAAAUUAGCGGAUGACCUGUGGCUGGGGGUGAAAGGCCAAUCAAACCGGGAGAUAGCUGGUUCUCCCCGAAAGCUAUUUAGGUAGCGCCUCGUGAAUUCAUCUCCGGGGGUAGAGCACUGUUUCGGCUAGGGGGCCAUCCCGGCUUACCAACCCGAUGCAAACUGCGAAUACCGGAGAAUGUUAUCACGGGAGACACACGGCGGGUGCUAACGUCCGUCGUGAAGAGGGAAACAACCCAGACCGCCAGCUAAGGUCCCAAAGUCAUGGUUAAGUGGGAAACGAUGUGGGAAGGCCCAGACAGCCAGGAUGUUGGCUUAGAAGCAGCCAUCAUUUAAAGAAAGCGUAAUAGCUCACUGGUCGAGUCGGCCUGCGCGGAAGAUGUAACGGGGCUAAACCAUGCACCGAAGCUGCGGCAGCGACACUAUGUGUUGUUGGGUAGGGGAGCGUUCUGUAAGCCUGUGAAGGUGGCCUGUGAGGGUUGCUGGAGGUAUCAGAAGUGCGAAUGCUGACAUAAGUAACGAUAAAGCGGGUGAAAAGCCCGCUCGCCGGAAGACCAAGGGUUCCUGUCCAACGUUAAUCGGGGCAGGGUGAGUCGACCCCUAAGGCGAGGCCGAAAGGCGUAGUCGAUGGGAAACGGGUUAAUAUUCCCGUACUUGGUGUUACUGCGAAGGGGGGACGGAGAAGGCUAUGUUGGCCGGGCGACGGUUGUCCCGGUUUAAGCGUGUAGGUGUGUGUUCCAGGUAAAUCCGGUUCACUUUAACACUGAGGCGUGACGACGAGGCACUACGGUGCUGAAGCAACAAAUGCCCUGCUUCCAGGAAAAGCCUCUAAGCAUCAGGUAACAUCAAAUCGUACCCCAAACCGACACAGGUGGUCAGGUAGAGAAUACCAAGGCGCUUGAGAGAACUCGGGUGAAGGAACUAGGCAAAAUGGUGCCGUAACUUCGGGAGAAGGCACGCUGACACGUAGGUGAAGUGAUUUACUCAUGGAGCUGAAGUCAGUCGAAGAUACCAGCUGGCUGCAACUGUUUAUUAAAAACACAGCACUGUGCAAACACGAAAGUGGACGUAUACGGUGUGACGCCUGCCCGGUGCCGGAAGGUUAAUUGAUGGGGUCAGCGCAAGCGAAGCUCCUGAUCGAAGCCCCGGUAAACGGCGGCCGUAACUAUAACGGUCCUAAGGUAGCGAAAUUCCUUGUCGGGUAAGUUCCGACCUGCACGAAUGGCGUAAUGAUGGCCAGGCUGUCUCCACCCGAGACUCAGUGAAAUUGAACUCGCUGUGAAGAUGCAGUGUACCCGCGGCAAGACGGAAAGACCCCGUGAACCUUUACUAUAGCUUGACACUGAACAUUGAGCCUUGAUGUGUAGGAUAGGUGGGAGGCUUUGAAGUGUGGACGCCAGUCUGCAUGGAGCCGACCUUGAAAUACCACCCUUUAAUGUUUGAUGUUCUAACGUGGACCCGUAAUCCGGGUUGCGGACAGUGUCUGGUGGGUAGUUUGACUGGGGCGGUCUCCUCCUAAAGAGUAACGGAGGAGCACGAAGGUUGGCUAAUCCUGGUCGGACAUCAGGAGGUUAGUGCAAUGGCAUAAGCCAGCUUGACUGCGAGCGUGACGGCGCGAGCAGGUGCGAAAGCAGGUCAUAGUGAUCCGGUGGUUCUGAAUGGAAGGGCCAUCGCUCAACGGAUAAAAGGUACUCCGGGGAUAACAGGCUGAUACCGCCCAAGAGUUCAUAUCGACGGCGGUGUUUGGCACCUCGAUGUCGGCUCAUCACAUCCUGGGGCUGAAGUAGGUCCCAAGGGUAUGGCUGUUCGCCAUUUAAAGUGGUACGCGAGCUGGGUUUAGAACGUCGUGAGACAGUUCGGUCCCUAUCUGCCGUGGGCGCUGGAGAACUGAGGGGGGCUGCUCCUAGUACGAGAGGACCGGAGUGGACGCAUCACUGGUGUUCGGGUUGUCAUGCCAAUGGCACUGCCCGGUAGCUAAAUGCGGAAGAGAUAAGUGCUGAAAGCAUCUAAGCACGAAACUUGCCCCGAGAUGAGUUCUCCCUGAGACUUAGAGUCUCCUGAAGGAACGUUGAAGACGACGACGUUGAUAGGCCGGGUGUGUAAGCGCAGCGAUGCGUUGAGCUAACCGGUACUAAUGAACCGUGAGGCUUAACCUU
rnacentral:rRNA from 1 species